AAGUUAAUAAUUUAUUAAAAUAUUAAGUUGUGGUCUUAAAAAUGAGAAUGUAACCUCUUUAAUAUC
rnacentral:tRNA from 1 species